CUCCGGGUGCGUGUGGGGCAGCGUCCGCCUCGGCAGCCCAGCCCGCAGCUCCCGCUGACGCGGCGCUGGGGCGAUCCCGGCUGAGGCAGGCUCCGGCCGGUGUCACACCUGCAUCACCGCGCCCACGCCGCCGCCGCUGCCACCCGCCCAGGCGCAGCGCGCAGCGCGCCCCCGCCCCACGAACACCCAGGGCGGGAGGCUCCUGGGUUAUCUAUUCAGCAGGAUCAGAUCCUAACCAGGGCAUUAAAGGAACUGAAAAGAUCCUACUUGACGAAUGAGAAGGAGGAAAACUUAGAAGGCUGGAUGCAUUCGACAAAGUACUUCUCUCUCUCUCUUCUUCCAAUGACCCCCAACUCCGUUCACAAAAGGGUUCCGCAAAUUGAAAUGCCCAAGCUCAACCUUCAUUGAAAGACUUCUCAGGAGCAGAGGGCUCCUUCUAGGAUGAAGUGAGGAGCAAAGAAAUGAAACUGAAAAUUCAGAGAGGAAAUCCAACAAAAGCCAAGUUCAGCUUGCAGGUGCUGGUCUCCUCCAAGAUUAGGAACUAUGUUCCUAAUAGUGCUGAAAUGGAGACAAGUCCUGAAAGAUUAUUGCCUCUUCCCCACUGAACCCUUUGCCAUCCCCAGGUCUUCCCCUCUCUCUCCCUACUUGGGCUACAAUCACCGUGUUGCUCUCCAGCUCCCUGCCUCUCUCCUGGCUAAAGCUUUCCUCGCCUGGAUCACUGGCCAGGGCUUCACCAACGGGACCUCCUAGGGUCAUUUCUUAAAAUAUCCUCACUCACUUCAGGAACUGGAAACAUGAAAAUGAUGAGAAGUGAAAUUCUAUAACAGAUUGGUCAAAAGUUGCUCCAUGGAGUGUUAAUUUCUAAAUAUAUGCAAGUUUUCUUAUGCAUAGCAUCCAGAUGAUCAACCUGCUGGUUUCCACAAGAGCCCCACAACUCAUACUUGAAAAGCCCUGGGACACAAAGUGAAAAAUAUGCUCUGCAACUGAGGCAGGCUGGUGAUAUACCUGUGCAGAGAUGAUUCCUGCAGCAAUGCCUAGACUGAAGUGGAUGUGAGCAGAGCACAAGAGGUAUCCAAGCAGUAGCACCAGAUGUCAAAGAGAGACCGUAAGCACCUGCAAGCUCAAGGUCACCAUUCAACUGCAAGAUUCUGUCUACCUCUGCACUUCCAGUAAUGUGAGCACAUAAACUUUCUUAAUGUUUAAGCCACUUCUUUCUUUUUGGCCCCCUUUUAAAAAUACUAGACCAAAAAAAAAAAAAUCGAUGAUAGAUAGAGAGAUAGAUAGAUAGAUAGAUAGGUAGAUAGAUAGAUAGAUAGACAGAUAAAUUAGAUAGAGUAACUGUAACAUGGGAGAUAAGUAGUUAACAGGUAAGCACUUGGGGAUUGGGGAAAGAUAAUGCUGACUUACCCUUUUUUUCAGAACCAUUCUGGCUUCUGUAUUAGGAAUAGACUAUAAAGGGCAGAGAGGAAGCAAAGAUACCAGUGUAGAGACUAAUGCGGCAAUUCAGGCUAGAAAUGACAAUGGCCUGGACAAGGUAAUCAGUGUGAAGGAGGUAAGAGGGCUUCACCCCCGCCACGUUAUUGCACAUGUCAGUAAAAAAUUUACAAAGAAAGUUCCCAAGAAACAAAAAGAGGAUCCGGAAGAAAUGGGAGACAGAAUGAAAUAGGAAAGGCCAUCAGACAGGUGUUGAGGAGGACAUUUGAGUAAGGGCAGUCACAAAGUGUAAACAAAGUAGGGAAAGAUUGAAAGAAAAGCGAGUUAUGAAUUGAAUCUAUGAUGAUGCUAAUCCAUGGGCAAGCAAAGACUGAAAUUACUUUUUAUUCCAUUCAGUUGCAUCUCUUUAAAGACAAUACCAUACCAAGGCUGGACUAUGCAGGACAUGGUAGACAGAAGGCUACACAGACUUAUGUUGCAUGAAAUUAGUCAUGUUUAACACAUUUUGAAAGUGAUUUUAGAAUCCUUUUACUCAUUGAUUUAUUUAGAAUUUCCCUCUGAGAUAUAUUAAGUACAAGUCCUGCAAAGAAAAUUAGAUAGAAAGCAGUUUUGAUACAAAUUAGACUAGAAUCGUGAUCAAACAGAGUCUCUGCAGAUAGAAUGUAGCAUAGAAUUAAUUUAGCUAAGUUUGGACCUCCUACAUUAAUCAUUUCAUAAUUCAUAUCUUCAAAUAUUUACAGUUCAUUGCACAAGCUCAUUUUCUUUCCCUGAGGGAAGAUGCUCGGUUCUUAAGGAGCCCUGUGGUUUAGUAAUGGAAAGUGUGUGAAGUAAAGUAUGAAUGACAUGAGUCUCUGAAGCCAUAUUUUUGUGACUUGAUUUGCCUCCCUUCCAGACUAAGUGGAUUGGUGAAGUAGAGGGGAAACUGGAUGGUCAGUUGGGCAGGGAGUACUGGGUGACUUCUUUAUCCAAAACACAUUUGCUAAAACAAAUCAAUUCUUUUAAAUGCAAGUGCAUGGUGAAAGUCUAGGCUCCUUCACAUCUUUGUGUGAACAGGGGAAUGCCUCAGUUAUCUCAGACAGUGGGCAUUGGCCCAGAACUAAGAAUAUUGGGGAGGUCCUAAAAACUUGGAAAAAGGGAACCUAAAUUCUAACCAUAUCUCCUCUGCUAGAUAUGUGACUCUAAGAAGUCCCAUGGCUUAAUAAAUGGUGUUGGGAAAACCAGAUAUCCACAUACAAAAGAAUGAAGCUCAAUCUCUACCUUAUGCCAUUUACAAAAAAUCAUUCAAAAUGGAUCACAGGACUAAACAUAAGAGCUACAACUAUGAAACUUUUAAAACAGGGGGUAAACUUCAUAAUACUACAUUUCACAAUGUUUUCUUGGAUAUGACACCAAAAACAAAAACAACAUAAGAAAAUAUAGGUAAAUUGGACCAUGUCAAAAUUAAGUGCCUGUGCUUCAAAUAACAUAAUAGAUUUACAAGGCAACCUACUGCAGGUUAUAUUGCUUAUAAGGGCUUAAUAUCAAAACUACAUAAAGAACUCUCACAACUCAGCAACAUCAACAAAAAUGAAAAGUGGGCAAAAGACUUAAAAAGACAUUUCUCCAAAGAAGAUAUGCAAAUGCCAAUAAGCACGUGAAAAGAUGCGUAACAUCACUGACAUCAUUAGAGAAAUGGAAAUCAAAACCAUGAUGGAUAAUGCCGCAUCCCCAUUAGAGUAGCCAUUUGGAAAAGAAACUGGAAUCUUUUUGAAUGGUUGGUAGGACCUCUUGUGCCCUGUUGGUAAAAUUGUGCAGAAACUAUGGAAAACAGUACAGUGGUAUUAUAGUUUGAAUCUGGAGCGUCCUCCACAGUCUCUUGUGUUAGUCUUGGUCUCCAGCCUGUUUUGCUACUGAGAGGUGGUAGAAAUAUUAGGAGGUGAGCCUAGUGGAAGUUACAUCACUGGGGUCAUACCCUUGAAGAGGAUAUGGGGACCCCAGUCCCUGCCUCUCUCUAACUUUUCUUCACUACCACCCAAAGGUGAACAGCUUUGUUCCAACAUGGGUUUCCUCCCCAUGAUAUUCAACUUUGUCAUAGUUCCAAGUGAUGGACCCAAGCAACCAUGGACUGAAACCUCUGAAACCUUGAGCCAAAAUAAACAUUGCUCCUUUUAAGUUGUUCAUCUAAGGUAUUCUGUUACAGGGACAGAAAGCUGACUAACACGAGUGGUUCCUUAAAAAAUUAAAAACAGAAUUGUCAUAUGAUCCAGCAAUUACACUUAUCAGUACAUACUCGGCAAAACUAGAAGCAGGGAUUGGCAAAUAUUUUUAAAUUUGUAUUCAUAGCAGCAUUAUUCAUAAUAACCAAGGAGUGGGGGGAACCCAAGUGUUCAUGGGAAGGUGAAUGAAUAAACAAAAUGUGGUAUAUAAACAACAAAAUAUUACUCAGCCUUAAAAAAAAGAAGUAAAUUCUGACACGUGCUACAACCCGGAUAAAACCUGAAGAUGUUACGCUAAGUGAAAUCAACCAGUCACAGAAGGACAAACACUGUACGAUUCCAUUUAUAUGAAGUCCCUGGAAUAAUCACGUUCAUAGAGACAUAAAGUAGAAUCAUAGCUGCUGAGACCCAGGGGAACAAAAUGAGAGCUUCUGUUUAAUGGGUAUGGAAUUUCAGUUUUGCUAGAUUCUGGAGAUGGAUGGUGGUAAUGGUUGCACCACCAGGUGAGGGUGGACUGUACUGACUCUGGACUGUACACUUAAGAAAGGUUAAGAUGGUAAAGUCUAUAUUGUGCAUAUUUCACAAUUUAAAAAACUUUUUAAAAGGUAUUAACUAUAAAAAAUGCUUUCACUGUGCAAAGUACACAGAAAAUAUUCCCAAACUAAUAAAAU